UNGCAGGGCUCUGAAUCCAUACACGAGAGC
rnacentral:piRNA from 1 species